AGCGUAGGCGGAUUCUUAAGUGGGAUGUGAAAUACCCGGGCUUAACCUGGGUGCUGCAUUCCAAACUGGGAAUCUAGAGUGCAGGAAGGGAGAGUGGAAUUCCUAGUGUAGCGGUGAAAUGCGUAGAGAUUAGGAAGAACACCAGUGGCGAAGGCGACUCUCUGGACUGUAACUGACGCUGAGGCUCGAAAGCGUGGGAGCAAACA
rnacentral:rRNA from 1 species